rnacentral:rRNA from 1 species
UGGGGAAUAUUGCACAAUGGGCGAAAGCCUGAUGCAGCGACGCCGCGUGAGGGAUGACGGCCUUCGGGUUGUAAACCUCUUUCAGCAGGGAAGAAGCGAAAGUGACGGUACCUGCAGAAGAAGCACCGGCUAACUACGUGCCAGCAGCCGCGGUAAUACGUAGGGUGCGAGCGUUGUCCGGAAUUAUUGGGCGUAAAGAGCUUGUAGGCGGUUUGUCGCGUCUGCUGUGAAAAUCCGGGGCUCAACCCCGGACUUGCAGUGGGUACGGGCAGACUAGAGUGUGGUAGGGGGAGACUGGAAUUCCUGGUGUAGCGGUGAAAUGCGCAGAUAUCAGGAGGAACACCGAUGGCGAAGGCAGGUCUCUGGGCCACUACUGACGCUGAGAAGCGAAAGCAUGGGGAGCGAACAGGAUUAGAUACCCUGGUAGUCCAUGCCGUAAACGUUGGGCGCUAGGUGUGGGACUCAUUCCACGAGUUCCGUGCCGCAGCUAAGCGCAUUAAGCGCCCCGCCUGGGGAGUACGGCCGCAA